AACGAACGCUGGCGGCAUGCCUAACACAUGCAAGUCGAACGAGACCUUCGGGUCUAGUGGCGCACGGGUGCGUAACGCGUGGGAACCUGCCCUUAGGUUCGGAAUAACUCCCCGAAAGGGGUGCUAAUACCGGAUAAUGUCUUCGGACCAAAGAUUUAUCGCCUUUGGAUGGGCCCGCGUUGGAUUAGCUAGUUGGUAGGGUAAAAGCCUACCAAGGCGACGAUCCAUAGCUGGUCUGAGAGGAUGAUCAGCCACACUGGGACUGAGACACGGCCGAGACUCCUACGGGAGGCAGCAGUGGGGAAUAUUGGAAAAUGGGCGAAAGCCUGAACCAGCAAUGCCGCGUGAGUGAUGAAGGCCUUAGGGUUGUAAAGCUCUUUUACCCGGGAUGAUAAUGACAGUACCGGGAGAAUAAGCACCGGCUAACUCCGUG
rnacentral:rRNA from 1 species